ACUAGUCACAAAUUUAACCAAUAACUCAUUCAUUUCACUUGUGUUCAAUGCAUUUUUUGUUGUGACGUGAUCCUCCCUAGCAUGAUGCCCACACUGUAAAUGCUCCCUAUUUGGAUUACAAAAAAAAAAAAAAAAAAAAAAAAAAAAUACUGUACUACAUAGACGUCAUCAUUUUGUAAGUGGGCCAAUUUUGCAUUUUCCCCAAUAACUUCGGUUUUAUUUGGAAUUUGGGAAUUAGAUGAACUCAAGACACCCCUCUCAACAUUUUAGCAUCUCUGAACAUCAAGUCAUUUUUCUUUUUCUAAUUGCCAGCUAGGAAUGGAGGCAUCCUCUUCAAAAUCAACAAAAACGCAAUUUUAUUAUUACCAUCAUCUAGAAUUUUUCCUCCGUGUCAUGUCCUGCUUUUGUGUUGACACUUGCCUUUGUGUUUCUCAGUGUACAUCAAAAGCGAUGACCGGCCACCACGCUUUGCUGCCUAAACUGCACUUGAGAAGUACAUGUACAAACAAGUUAGGAAAAACCGCCUUGCCGUCACCGCAGCUCCAACAGGCCAGCAGAUCCCCGGCCAGCUCACGGUGACCUUUGGGAAAUACAAAGGCAAGACCUUCAUGUGGCUUACGGAGGAAGAUGUCGGCUAUGUCAAGUAGUGAGUAUAUAUAAGAAAUCGAUAAUAGGCAGUGGAUUGUGUGUCUUUGUUACCCAAAAUAAAAAAAUCGGUUUAAAACAACUACUGCAUGCUCUCUUAAAAAGUCUCCUCGAUGGCCACAGGAGGAGAGGCGACGACAGAAGGGAAGGUGCGACACCAAAACUGGGGAGUGGAGGCUGAAGGAGCAGCUUCUACGCUACGUGGAUAUGUUCCCUCCGGUGUCAUGCCACUUGGAGCAGAACAUCGACCGGGCCAUCUGCGGGCAUGGCCGCUUCCGGUCCUUCACGUUCGAGGAUAUGUGGCAGUGUUAUGACUUCUCCAAGCUCAUCCGUAACGAUCUCCAGGCCGAAAGCGCAGAAGAAUGGAAGAUGGCCCUGGAAGCCUUCUGGUUUGUGCGUCAGUGGCUACUGAUGACGGAGUAGGACAUCAAUGUCACGUUAAGAGAUUUCGAUUGUACAUCCUCACAAAGGAGGAGGAGCGAGCUAAAGGCAAAGUUGCACCAGCUACGCCCCUCACGUCAGCUUGUGCAUCAGCAUUAGCAGCAUUAUCAACAUGACCUGCUGUAGCAAAUACACCAUCAUCAGCAGCAGCAGUAGCAGCAGCACAACAACAAGCACCACCACCACAAGGUGAUGAUGAAGACUGGCAAUGUAAAAUAGUACGCGCCUGGGCCGCUUUGUGGCCAAUCCGCACAGGGUCACAAAAAAUAUUCCAAAAAAAAAAAAAAAAAAAAAAAGGGCCUACACGGUCAAGGCGUCCACGUCCAAAGGACUUUCUGGCAGGUCUUUUGAAAACUUUGUAAAUUUUAAGGAGGCAGUCAAUGACCUUAUAAAAUAAAAUACAUUGAUAUGUACUUCAUGUCUCAGCUACUUCUUUUUACACACACAAAUAUGCAGUAUGUUCGGCAUAGCAUAUAGUCCUGUAUAUUGUGCACUUUCCCAAUGAGUGCAGACAGAAAAUUAAAAACCUAGUCCUUAUUUCUCAACACUUCAAUAUCUGCAAAACACUUGCUUAUCAUUAAACUUAUUUAAGACUCAAUACAGGCUGCUUAACUUUUACUGUGUACUAUAGCUCCUGUAUUUAAAUACAAGAAAAAAACUGGAAUUUGAGUGUAAUAACAAAUACAUUUAAAGCAUACAGAGAUUGGGAAAAGUCCUAAUGCCCUUAAUUGAAAGUGGGGAAAAAAUAGGCCAAGACAACACAACAGCUAAAACACAGUAAUGAUGAAAUCUAUAAUGCUGCGCUUCGGACC